UCAAUGUCAUUCUUAUUCAAAGCUUUUAAGCUAGGAAAUCUAUCUGACGGGUGGGAUAAGAGCUCAAGUUUAUUUCAGUUAAAGCAAAACAGGAAGAGCAGUAAGUAGCUAAUCCUGAUAAGGGAGGGCCAAAAAGGAGUAGCGAAGCAGUUGAUGUUCCCAAAUUGAAAGAAUUUGUGAAGUCUCUGGGAUUUGGAAUUUAUAAGCGCUGGUGGAAACAUGGUUUGGAUAUCCUGGUCUACUUAGAGAAGACGGGAACAUUAAUUUGACAGAAAUGCAUGGAAUGGAUCAGGACAGGAAAAGGCAGGAGAUAGCAUGCAUGUGUGACGCUGAAGAAGAUACAAAACAAACCACUAUCAGGAGAUACCACUCCACACUUAUUUGAAUGGCAACAUUUAAAAGGAAUAUAAACUGACAAUAUCAAGUGCUGGCAAGGACUCAAGAGCAUCUGGAACUCCCAUACAUGGCUGGUGAGAAUGAAAAAUGAACGAUCCACUCUGGAAAAUGAUUUUGCAGUCUAAGGUUAAGCAUAUACUAACCAUAUACCCCAACAAUCCCACUCACAGUUACCUAGAGAAAUGAAAACAUGUUAAUAUAAAAGCCUGCACAUUAAUGUUUAUAGACACUAUUGAUAAUUGCCCCAAACUGGAAAACAUCCUGAAUAUCCUUGAGUAGGUGAACGGAUAAACAAAGUGUUGUACCUUCAUACCAUGGAAUACUAUUCAGCAACGAGGAAGAACAACGCAUUAUAGUGAAAUAAGUCAGUCUCAAAGUUUUCAUACUGUAUGAUUCCAUUUACAUUAUAUAAUGUAUCUAUAUAUUAUA